rfam:Halomonas subglaciescola strain ACAM 12 genome assembly, chromosome: I
ACCCGAGACUGCAAGUAUGCGUGGUCUCAUCCUCAUUCAUUUUUCAGGCAUAUUGCUUACUGGAGAGAAAGAUGGCACUAACAGCUGAACAGAAAGCCGAGAUUGUUACCGAAUACGCACGUGGUGAU